UACAGAGGUCCCAAGCGUUGUUCGGAUUCACUGGGCGUAAAGGGUGCGUAGGCGGUCGGGUUAGUCUGAUGUGAAAUCUCACAGCUUAACUGUGAAACUGCAUUGGAUACUAUCCGGCUCGAGGAAUGGAGGGGAGACUGGAAUACUUGGUGUAGCAGUGAAAUGCGUAGAUAUCAAGUGGAACACCAGUGGCGAAGGCGAGUCUCUGGACAUUUCCUGACGCUGAGGCACGAAAGCCAGGGGAGCAAACGGG
rnacentral:rRNA from 1 species